rnacentral:lncRNA from 1 species
UUCAGCACAUGUUAUAAUAAUACAAUGCACUACUUCAUGAAGUGUUGUAUAUUUUGAAUUCGAAAUUCAAACUGUAAGUAACGACCAAAAUCCUAGAGCAAUAAUUAAAACUAAUUCGUAGUAUGUCGGUCGAAGGCCGGCCGCUAGAGCGCCGCCUCAUUAACGCCGCGAAUAGCCUGAUUGCUCAGAUGCGCCGCCUCCUUU